AUUGAACGCUGGCGGCAGGCCUAACACAUGCAAGUCGAGCGAGCGGCGGACGGGUGCGUAAUGUCUGGGAAACUGCCUUAUGGCGGGGGAUAACUACUGGAACCGGUAGCUAAUACCGCAUACCAUCAGCUUAUCCCAGAUGGUAUUAGCUAGUAGGUGGUGUAACGGCUCACCUAGGCUACGAUCCCUAGCUGGUCUGAGAGGAUGACCAGCCACACUGGAACUGAGACACGGUCCAGACUCCUACGGGAGGCAGCAGUGGGGAAUAUUGCACAAUGGGCGCAAGCCUGAUGCAGCCAUGCCGCGUGUGUGAAGAAGGCCUUCGGGUUGUGAAGCACUUUCAGCGGGGAGGCGUUACCCGCAGAAGAAGCACCGGCUAACUCCGUGCCAGCAGCCGCGGUAAUAC
rnacentral:rRNA from 1 species